rnacentral:rRNA from 1 species
CCUACGGGUGGCAGCAGUGGGGAAUAUUGCACAAUGGGGGAAACCCUGAUGCAGCGACGCCGCGUGAGUGAAGAAGUAUUUCGGUAUGUAAAGCUCUAUCAGCAGGAACGAGACAAGACGGUACCUGACUAAGAAGCCCCGGCUAACUACGUGCCAGCAGCCGCGGUAAUACGUCGGGGGCAAGCGUUAUCCGGAAUCACUGGGUGGAAAGGGAGCGUAGACGGCUGAGCAAGCCUGAAGUGAAAGGCGGGGGCCCAACCCCUGGACUGCUUUGGGAACUGUACGGCUGGAGUGCAGGAGAGGUAAGUGGAAUUCCUAGUGUAGCGGUGAAAUGCGUAGAUAUUAGGAGGAACACCAGUGGCGAAGGCGGCUUACUGGACUGUAACUGACGUUGAGGCUCGAAAGCGUGGGGAGCAAACAGGAUUAGAUACCCCAGUAGUC